rnacentral:lncRNA from 1 species
CCCUGAUGAAGGAAAUGAAUGCGGGGAAGGGAUCAGAAAUAUGAUCCACCACUCACAGGCUCAGAAAGGUCUGGGGGCUCUCUGUGGCCUUCGAGGGGGCAGCUGGGCACAGUGUGUUUUAUUAUAUAAUUAACCUUGACCCUUCUGGGUUCAAAGAGAGAGGUUAGUUGGAAAUAAAUCAGUAGUCUGGUCUGGUCACUUCAAAGGCUUCAGAACCCGCUGGAAAAUUCCAUGUUUGUUCAGUGUGUAAAUUGGAAUAGGGUGUGCAAUUCUUUUUGAAAGGUGGGGGAGUUAAGUCUAAAAUUGAAAUUAAUUGUGUAUCCGCUUCCUUUAAUCAAGCAAUCAGGAGUCUUUAUUGUGUAUCUUGUUGGGGGGGGUGAAUGAGAAGCCCUGGGGGGUACUGUGUGACCUCUAUGAGACCACUGGGCUUGGUUCUAGGACAAUAGGCAUCUCUCCAAGCUCAGGAAGCACCUCCCCUCCCAGCAGUGUGCAGCCCUUUAUUCGGACAUGUCUGAAAUUCUUAGAAGCACCGAACCAUCACCAUCAUAAUACACGGCAUUUAUUGAGUGCUUACUAUGGACCAGGUGCCGAGGAUUUUCCAGCUAUUUUCUUAUUUGAACCUCAUAACAACCCUAUUAGACAAGUACCAUUAUUAUCUCUAUUACAGAUGAGGAAAUAGAGUAGGGGCCUAAAUAGCAAGUCCAGGGCCACUUUGAGGUUUCCAAAGUGUGUUUCAAUGCCACGGCUCAAGGAAUGCAAAUAAAAGCCAAGGAAGAGACGAAUUACCCAGUCUCCAGUCUCCGUGUUCUUUUCCUGAAGUUGCUAGAAGGAGCUUGUCCUUGGAAGGCAGCCACCAUGUUGUGAGGAAGCCCAGGCCACACGGAGAGGCUGCAUGUGGGUGUUGGGGCACGAAGCCGG